rnacentral:rRNA from 1 species
GACGAACGCUGGCGGCGUGCCUAAUACAUGCAAGUCGAACGCAGUGGGGACGGGUGAGUAACACGUGGGUAACCUCCCAUCAGAGGGGAUAACACUUGGAAACAGGUGCUAAACCGAUACUGAUGGAUGAAUCCGCGGUGCAUUAGCUAGUGGGUGAGGUAACGGCUAACAAAGGCUACAAUGCAUAGCCGACCUUGGAGGGUGAUCGGCCACACUGGGACUUGGACACGGCCCAAACUCCUACGGAAGGCAGCAGUAGGGAAUCUUAGGCAAUGGACGAAAGUCUGACCGAGCAACGCAGCGUGAGUGAAGAAGGUUUUCGGAUCGUAAGACUCUGUUGUUAGAGAAGCGGUAUCUAACCAGAAAGCCACGGCUAACUACGUGCCAGCAGCCGCGGUAAUAC